ACACAGGAUUAGAUAUCCCUGGUAGUCCACGACUGUAAACGAUGAGUGGGGAAGUGUUAGGGGGGUUUCCCACCCCUUAGUGCUGCAGCUAACGCAUUAAGCACUCCGCCUGGGGAGUACGGUCGCAAGACUGAAACUCAAAGGAAUUGAUGUGGGCACGCACUAGCGGGAGAGCAUGUGUUUUAAUUAGAAGCAACGCGAAGAACCUUACCAGGUCUUGACAUCCCGCUGACCGCUAUGGAGACAUAGCCUUCCCUUCGGGGACAGCGGUGACAGGUGGUGCAUGGUUGUCGUCAGCUCGUGUCGUGAGAUGUUGGGUUAAGUCCCGCAACGAGCGCAACCCUUGUCCUUAGUUGCCAUCAUUCAGUUGGGCACUCUAAGGAGACUGCCGUACAAAUACGGAGGAAGGUGGGGAUGACGUCAAAUCAUCAUGCCCCUUAUGACCUGGGCUACACACGUGCUACAAUGGACGGUACAAACGGUCGCGAAGUCGCGAGACGGAGCCAAUCCGAAAAAACCGUUCUCAGUUCGGAUUGCAGGCUGCAACUCGCCUGCAUGAAGCCGGAAUCGCUAGUAAUCGCGGAUCAGCAUGCCGCGGUGAAUACGUUCCCGGGCCUUGUACACACCGCCCGUCACACCACGAGAGUCUGUAACACCCGAAGUCGGUGAGGUAACCCUUUCGGGAGCCAGCCGCCGAAGGUGGGACAGAUGAUUGGGGUGAAGUCGUAACAAGGUAGCCGUAUCG
rnacentral:rRNA from 1 species